rnacentral:rRNA from 1 species
UACGUAGGGCGCAAGCGUUGUCCGGAAUUAUUGGGCGUAAAGAGCUCGUAGGCGGUUUGUCGCGUCUGCUGUGAAAACCUAAGGCUCAACCUUGGGCUUGCAGUGGGUACGGGCAGACUAGAGUGCGGUAGGGGUGACUGGAAUUCCUGGUGUAGCGGUGAAAUGCGCAGAUAUCAGGAGGAACACCGAUGGCGAAGGCAGGUCUCUGGGCCGAUACUGACGGCUGAGGCGACGGAAAGCCAGGGGAGCGAACGGG